rnacentral:rRNA from 1 species
UUCGCCGCUUGCGACGUCUUGAGAAGUCCAGUGAACCUUAUCAUUUAGAGGAAGGAGAAGUCGUAACAAGGUUUCCGUAGGUGAACCUGCGGAAGGAUCAUUGUUGAAAAUCUCGACGAGGAGCACGAUGAACGUGUCAUCGAGUGUUGUCGGCCCGGGCCCUUCCUGGGCUGAUGCUGUCCUUGCCCUCGUGGUGUGGACGACGGAUCAAACCGCCGGCGCGAUGGGCGCCAAGGAACGGGAAACUUGUCGGGCGAGGACUUCAUCCCGGCUGGGUUGAAGCUCGCUUGGAACCUAACGACUCUCGGCAACGGAUAUCUCGGCCCUCGCAUCGAUGAAGAACGUAGCGAAAUGCGAUACGUGGUGUGAAUUGCAGAAUCCCGUGAACCAUCGAGUCUUCGAACGCAAGUUGCGCCUGAGGCCUUCUGGUCGAGGGCACGCCUGCUUGGGCGUCACGCCAUUGUCGCUCCGCGCAGCCUUGCCCCCGCGCACGAGUGGCUGAGCCGGAGGUGUACGCUGGCCCCCCGUGCCCUUGGGGCAUGGUUGGCUGAAGAGGGGGUCGUUGCUGGUGGUUGGACACGACGGGUGGUGGUGCUGUGAGCGAGCCGAACGUUGUGCCCUGGCCAUGCAAAUGAGCUUUUGAGGAUCCCGUCCCCACCACGAUAAUCGUUUUGUCUUUUUGAUUGCGACCCCAGGUCAGGCGGGGCCACCCGCCGAGUUUAAGCAUAUAAAUAAGCGGAGGAGAAGAAACUUACGUGGAUUCCCAUAGUAACGGCGAGCGAACCGGGAUCAGCCCAGCUUGAGAAUCGUGCGGCUGCGCCGUUCGAA